rnacentral:rRNA from 1 species
UACAGAGGGUGCGAGCGUUGUUCGGAAUUAUUGGGCGUAAAGGGCGCGUAGGCGGUGCGGUAAGUCACCUGUGAAAUCUCCUGGCUCAACUGGGAGCUUGCAGGCGAAACUGCCGUGCUGGAGUGUGGGAGAGGUGAGUGGAAUUCCCGGUGUAGCGGUGAAAUGCGUAGAUAUCAGGAGGAACACCGGUGGCGAAGGCGGGUCUCUGGGCCGAUACUUACGCUUAGGAGCGAAAACGUGGGGAGCGAACAGG